AGGAGCCUGGUUGUGUAACUGCGGCCACCCUGUGACUGGAUCUUGUCUUCUGGCCCGCGCUUUUGGAUUUGGGGGCAACACUGCCUCGCUCAGGAGCAGAGCACAAAUGACUACAGAGAAGCAAAAAAUGAAUAGACAACCCCACCAACCAAAGACCGGGGGCAGCAGCACGCCAGCAAGAAGGCAUCUUCUCUUUCCCAGCCUAGAAGCCCUGUGAAAUCGAGGAUCUUCCCCCUAAAACACACACACACGAGAUAUUGCAAUCAAGCUGCCACUGCUUGGUAAAAAGCUCAUGGUGCCUAACCAAAAAGGAUCAGGAGCAGAUCCUUGAAUCAGCUGUCACUUCUAUAGAAUGGGAUUUUUUUUCUUCCUCCUUAACCUGCACUGGAAAUUGCCGUUGGCUUCAUACAUCUCCAUAGAGGGAGGCUAAGGAGUCUUGCGUGAGAAUGAAGCAAUUUACAAUGCAAAUAGAGGCUUCUGAAGGGACGGAUACUGCUGCUCACUCAUAACCGCUUGCUGCACCUUAAUAGCUGGUUUUAUUUUCUGAUAUUAAUAGAUGAAUUGUUGGCUAACGCUGCCGGAGAUUACUUGCUGAAAGGGGGAAAAAAGUUCGGAAUAAACUCUCAAAGCAACAGAUCUCGUUUGGAUGUUUUAGCCGCACACACAAACAGAAACCAGGUCUUAUUUACAUACAAGGAGGAAUCUUAAGCGCCUGCAAGUGUCCUGGAGGACUGCUCUUCGGUACUGCCGGAAAGACCGGGAUCUGGAUGCAGGCCAGAGGAAGACAGAGGAAUGUGAGGGAAGCGAGUUGUUAUCUUUGGUUAUCUAGCUGUAUGAGUGUAUUGGUCUUCAUAAAGCUAGAUAACCGAAAGUAAAAACUCCUUCAAGAUCGCCGGGGAGCAUGUGAGAAUGAAAGACUACAACCAAGAGACAGUAAAAACCAGAAAGGUCAGGAAUACUUAUUGAAUCUAACUUUGUUUCGUUUUUGUUUUCCUUAUGAUUAAAGGUUGGAUUAGAGGAAAUUAAGUGACAUACAUAUGCCAAAAAUAAAGGUGCCAGGUCUUUUGAGAGGGGUUGUUACAAGGGAGAAUUGUAUAGUGCUAAUGAGUUAAGAGGCAUGCUCAGUCUGUCCUACUUAAAAGCAAAAGUUUAAAUAUGAGGUCCCCCCCCUUUUUUAGAAGGCUGUUGUAGAGAUGACCGAUACCUAAUUUUAAAAUGAUUUUAUAUUAUGUAGAUGUAGACUGUUCUCUUCUGAGGCAUCCUCCUCUGAUAAAUUUUAAAUUUUGCUUGGAAACUGCAUGUAUUUGGGGUGUAUAUCAGAUUAUAUGACACUGGACUAUCAGAAAAGUUUAUACUGGAAGGUUAGUAUUUUGUGUCUACUGAGGACAUACUGCUAGUAGGGAAAUGCAAAAAAAAUAAAAAGCAGAGGCUGAUUUUUAUUCUUCUAUUCAAAAUACAAGGACAGAUGCUUCUCUGUUCUAAGAGGGUUUCCUUGAGGAAGCUAUUGAAGCAGAAAGACAUGAUGGAGACGAGAUCGCCUCCCCUCUUGUCAAAGUGUUAAAAAAAUGUUCUGUCUUACUCUGGGCCUAGCAUUGGAAAUGAAAGUGACAUUUACGCCACAACCCACGUGUGCGCCUCCUCUCUUUUUGUUUAAGGAUGAUCAGGUCUAUCCAGGAAACAGCUCUGGCAUCCCAAACUGAAAUAAUUAGGACGUAUAUAGACCUGACAAAAAUGGAAAGGGGGUGGGGAAUCUGAGGGUCUGUCUUGCCUAAUUGAUUCCGCUAAACGGAAUGCAGGAGAUGUGAACGGCAGGACGCUCUGAUUCCCACGCUCGGGGGCAAGUGGUAAAGCGGGGCGGGCAGCCUAUGACAGACAGCCCUGUUGGGGGGGGUAUGAAAAAAACAUCAAGUACACACCAUACUCAUCUCCAUCGCUUAAGAAAGUAGAGGCAUUUCCCACCCACAGCCAUCUGCAGCCUCCCAAAUGGAAGCACGGACUGGUCUGUAGCUGCUGCAUGCUGUCUGUUUCUGUGAAUUUUAUAACCACUGUGUAAUCUGGCCACAAUUAAGUUCGGCUCCCUUCUUUGGUUGAGAUUUUCCAUAUUUAAGGAAAGCAGUUCCGAGAAAGCACCAAUCCUGCCCGUUCCUCAUGUCAGAUUCUCAGUCCAUACUUUUGGCCUUGUGAUCACCUUUUGGCUUUUAUUUUGGAUGAGUAAUAUUAAAAGUACCUAUCUUUAUAUAACAGACAUUAUCAUCACUUCAUCAAAGUGUUUACCUCUUACAUAACAAUUAUAGAAACUUAGCCUAAUUAUGCUAGUUGACACACUGGAAGUAAAACUAUAAAAUCAUCAACCUGUAGAAAGUUGAUUACAGUAACAAUAUGAUAAAAGGUUGUUUUGGUGUAGUCUCAGCUAGAAACGUUCUAAACAGCCAUUUUUAUUUAAUCUAAAAGUGACUAUGCUUAACCAAAACUUUGACUCUUUGAAGGCCCCUGUAGUAAUCUUUUUGUAAAUAUCUUCACAUUUGCCCACAUGUCACCAGGCAAACAUCUGUACAGGCAUUUAAACACAAAUUCAAACGUUGCAAUAAGAAAAUGCCCCAAAUCCACAUGGCCUAGAUGGCUGACAACCCCAGUCCCAACUCUGCAACUCUUCUUCAAAAGCACUACACUUUCCUUUGUAGCUUCAUCGUCUUUUAGGACUUCAGGCUGGAGAAGCCUGUGAAACCCCUGAUAGUUUCGGUUAGAAACUCCCAGAGACUGUGUUAACCUAAAUUCUCAAUUUGGCCGAGGAACACGUGCCAAAGUUUUACUACUGUAGUGACCGUUGAGAAGACCCUUGUUUAUUUACAUUUGAAGCACUGUUUGUGCAAACAACCUUUCAUUGUUAAGUGCCUGUAUUCCUUUCAUUUACUUCAUGUCCAGGGGUGCUAUUUACCUAGACCCAUUGUCUACUACAAUUAACAUUUACAUUACAAAGUGUGUGGUUUUCUUUCUCAAGGAGGUUCAAUUAAGGCAAUAAGAUGUUUGCUGGGGAAACCUAUUGUUUACUGAAAGCACUCAAUGGAGUCAAAUUACUGAAGCUUUUGCCUACAUCUCGGUCUUUUAUGUAAAUAUGUUAACUAUAACAUAUAAGUAAA